AACGCACAUGGCGCCUUCCAGUAUCCUGGGAGGCAUGCCUGUCCGAGCGUCAUUUGUACCUUCAAGCUUUGCUUGGUGUUGGGUGUUUGUCUCGCCUCUGCGUGUAGACUCGCCUUAAAACAAUUGGCAGCCGGCGUAUUGAUUUCGGAGCGCAGUACAUCUCGCGCUUUGCACUCAUAACGACGACGUCCAAAAGUACAUUUUUACACUCUUGACCUCGGAUCAGGUAGGGAUACCCGCUGAACUUAA
rnacentral:misc_RNA from 1 species